AAGCAGAUGGCCUCCCCCCAACCAUGAGGAUUUUUUAAUGGGGUGAAAAUGCCAGUCCCCGAAGCCAGGGUUCUCGGACCCCCAGGGCCGAGCUGGGCGCGGGAGCCCCGCAGGGGCGGGGAGGCCGACCGAGCUUGAAGAAGUGUAGGAGAGAUCUACACAACUUAAGUGGGGCGUCCCCAUCCCAUCUUCCUGCGCACCCUCCUUUGCCCCCAACUCCAUCUCUGCGACACUUCCCCACCCCCACUCCCCCCAAAAAGUCGCUCCCGGGCUCUCUCUGCAGAGAGCCAGGGUGAGAGCGGGCAAGGCAAAAGAGCGACCUCGGUCGUGGGCAAGUAGCUUGUUUUUACGUCCCUCAAUAAAAUUUUUAUGAGGAUCA